rnacentral:rRNA from 1 species
GACGAACGCUGGCGGCGUGCCUAAUACAUGCAAGUCGAGCGAGUCUGCCUUGAAGAUCGGAGUGCUUGCACCCUGUGAAACAAGAUACAGGCUAGCGGCGGACGGGUGAGUAACACGUGGGUAACCUGCCCAAGAGAUCGGGAUAACACCUGGAAACAGAUGCUAAUACCGGAUAACAACAGAUGAUGCCUAUCAACUGUUUAAAAGAUGGUUCUGCUAUCACUCUUGGAUGGACCUGCGGUGCAUUAGCUAGUUGGUAGGGUAACGGCCUACCAAGGCGAUGAUGCAUAGCCGAGUUGAGAGACUGAUCGGCCACAUUGGGACUGAGACACGGCCCAAACUCCUACGGGAGGCAGCAGUAGGGAAUCUUCCACAAUGGACGCAAGUCUGAUGGAGCAACGCCGCGUGAGUGAAGAAGGGUUUCGGCUCGUAAAGCUCUGUUGUUGGUGAAGAAGGACAGGGGUAGUAACUGACCUUUGUUUGACGGUAAUCAAUGAGAAAGUCACGGCUAACUACGUG